rnacentral:rRNA from 1 species
AGAGGUAUCGUAAUUGAAGAGGUUUGGAAAGACCCACCACAGAAGGUAAUAGUCCUGUAUGUUAAACGAGAAGACUUUAGAUAUGAUCCAGAGUACCACGGGACACGUGAAACCCUGUGGGAAGCAGGAGGGACCACCCUCCAAGGCUAAAUACUACCUAGUGACCGAUAGCGUAUAGUACCGUGAGGGAAAGGUGAAAAGAACCCCGGGAGGGGAGUGAAAUAGAACCUGAAACCCUGCACUUACAAGCUGUGGAAGCACAUUUCUUGUGUGACCGCGUACUUUUUGUAGAACGGGCCAACGAGUUACGUUAAGUAGCAAGGUUAAGCACUUAAGGUGCGGAGCCGUAGCGAAAGCGAGUUUUAACUGAGCGUUCAGUUACUUGACGUAGACCCGAAACCGGGCGACCUACCCAUGAGCAGGAUGAAGCGAAAGUAAAAUUUCGUGGAGGUCCGAACCCACGAGCGUUGAAAAGCUCGGGGAUGACUUGUGGGUAGCGGUGAAAUUCCAAUCGAGCCCGGAGAUAGCUGGUUCUCCCCGAAAUAGCUUUAGGGCUAGCCUCAAGGUGAGAGAUACGGAGGUAGAGCACUGAAUGUCCUAGGGGGUAUUGCACCUACCGAAGACUAUCAAACUCCGAAUGCCGUCAUCUUAUACUUGGGAGUCAGACUGUGGGUGAUAAGAUUCAUAGUCGAAAGGGCAACAGCCCAGAUCGUCAGCUAAGGUCCCUAAAUGUAAGUUAAGUGGUAAAGGAUGUGGGAUUGCACAGACAACCAGGAUGUUGGCUUAGAAGCAGCCACUCAUUCAAAGAGUGCGUAAUAGCUCACUGGUCGAGUGAUCCUGCGCCGAAGAUUUCCGGGGCUAAAACUUACUACCGAAGCUACGGCAUCAGUAAUGAUGGGUAGGGGAGCUUCCCAUACGGGUUGAAGCAUGACCGUAAGGACAUGUGGACAGUAUGGGAGUGAGAAUGUUGGCAUGAGUAGCGAGAUGUGGGUGAGAAUCCCACAGGCCGUAAACCCAAGGUUUCCAGGGGAAGGUUCGUCCGCCCUGGGUUAGUCGGGACCUAAGCUGAGGCCGAAAGGCGUAGGUGAUGGACAACAGGUUGAUAUUCCUGUAC